rnacentral:rRNA from 1 species
UGGGGAAUCUUGGACAAUGGGCGCAAGCCUGAUCCAGCCAUGCCGCGUGGGUGAAGAAGGCCCUAGGGUUGUAAAGCCCUUUCGGCGGGGAAGAUGAUGACGGUACCCGCAGAAGAAGCCCCGGCUAACUCCGUGCCAGCAGCCGCGGUAAUACGGAGGGGGCUAGCGUUGUUCGGAAUUACUGGGCGUAAAGGGCGCGUAGGCGGACCAUCAAGUCAGGGGUGAAAGGCCUGGGCUCAACCUGGGAACGGCCUUUGAAACUGGUGGUCUGGAGUCCGGGAGAGGAGAGCGGAAUUCCCAGUGUAGAGGUGAAAUUCGUAGAUAUUGGGAAGAACACCAGUGGCGCAGGCGGCUCUCUGGACCGGGACUGACGCUGAGGCGCGAAAGCGUGGGGAGCAAACAGGAUUAGAUACCCCCGUAGUCC